GAAGAAGAAUGUGAACCCGCUUGGCUAUUACCAGCCACAAGUAGCUUUGAUUUCAUAAGAUUGCCAUGAAGACUUCUGAAACUGCCAGGAGAGCAAAAUUCCUGUCUGAGGACUUCUUCCUGUGUGAGGAACUCUAACUGAAUUUGUCAUGCAGUCUGCAUAGUGAUCCCUUAGGUAUUUAUGGAGGCCCUGCUUUGUAAUAAGCUCAGGAGAGAGAACAUCCUUUCCCACAGGGGGCACGCACAUCAGUGAAGACGAUUGGCCUAGGAAGACCUAUCACACAGGUACAUGAGUGUUGUAAUAAAAGUGAAUGAUAGCAAAGUGGAUGCAGAGAGGAAACACACCCCGGUUACUAACGUCUUGGAUGCCAGAAUGGUGCUUGAUAAAAGAGGCCACAAUGUCAUGGAUGAAGAAAUAGCCUGUAUUUCUACUCCUCUUAGUUAAAAAUGUAACAAAGAUCUAGAUCCCAAAGUAUUUACUCUGGUGGGCACAGUAACACAGAUUCCUUCUGAUUGGUAACUAGAGUGAGCAGAGGUAAUAUAGUCUUCCCAGUGGUGUAGAAUUAUUUUAUAAUUAGAGUGUUUUCCUUCAUUCCAUCAAAAGGAUGCAGGAGUUAUGAAAGAUGAUAGAAAACUAAUAUUUUUUUCUAGUUUAAACUGGAUUAUGUAUUUCCCCCCUGUGGUAUGUAUGUGAAUUCAACUUUUUGUGUAAUAAAGUAGAAGAACCAUGCUUGUGUUACAGAAGAAUGGGAACUCCUUUGAGGUUGUGAUCGGGCUUGCCUGUUCAUUAUGUUGUCCAUCAGUGCACUAGGAAUUAGCCAUGAAUAGUCACUGUGUGCAUUUGUCACACUGACUGAGUUAGAAAAAGUGAUUUUUUUUUUAAAAAAAAUCAUUUGUUUUGGGAUGGGAGAGGUUUUUGUAAAGCUCUCCCAUUCUGUUCUGUCUAAAACUAGAUCAAAUCAUUUUGUUACAGUUAUUUAAUAUGUAAAUGAUAUCACUAUACAUAAAGUAUGUCUUUUAAAAACAAGGUUUUCUUUCAAAAUAGUGAUUGCUUAUAUUCAUGGUGUUCACAGCUACGUUAAAUGAGGAAGUCUGAUGUUCAUACUUUGUUUUCCUGACUGUUUCCUAAAGGGGGUGAGAACUUGCAGCUGCUGGUGGUGACACUGUAAAGACGAGUGGUUUUCUCUGGGCUGAGUCCAACCCAACCUUUGUCAGUCAGUGGGUGAACAUAAUUGUUCUACAUACCCUCUCUGUCGUUCCAUUUCCUGGACAACACGCUAAGGAUAAUACAGUCUGCUUCAGAAAGACAAAAGUGAAUUAAAGACAGGACUCUGCAGACAUGCCGGCAUAGUGUUCAGUGAGUACUGGCUUGUCUUCUGUAUGACACUGGUUAUAGAGUACUGCCAGGUCAGGAAGACCUGAACUGGAUUGGUCAGGACUCGGAGGCUCAGUGUGGACUCAGGAUGACCCAGUCAUGGAGGCACCCAGUUUUUGUGAGUUUUACUUGGGGAAACCUAACCAAUUUCUCACAGAAAAUGCUGGUGGUAACCACCUCAUUCUUCCAGCAAGGGAGGGAAAACAGAGCUAUUUUUGAAAUAGUCAUCAGUUUCUAAUAAAGUCUGCCCUCAGGAGAAGCUAGGAAACCAAAGUGUAACCUGCUGGGAGUUUAUCGGGGCUCAUAAGACAUGGGAAGACGUGACCAGCUCUGGCAGAUCUAGGCUCUCAUAUGGAGAACAGGACUAUUCAUGUUAGUUCACUCCAGCCAUCCUGUCCUCCGAUGGAGAGAGAAAGAUUCUGAGGUCACAUAUGCCAUUUACAGGCCAGAGGCAGUGGCUCACUAAUACAGACGGAAUUCACAGGAUUCACAUGCUUACUUCAUGUGCACAUACUUCAGUUCCUUUUACUCAUUACAGCGUGUCUGGCCUUGAGGAAAAUAAUCACAAAGCAUCCUGAAAGUCAAGAGACAAUGGGAAGAGAAUGGGAAGCAUCAGAACCAGGUGCAGCCUCCUUAUCAGACAAAAAGUUUAUUUGUUUUAUUAAAAAAAUUUUUCAU
ensembl:macro_lncRNA Gm35066 predicted gene, 35066